GGGUGUGACUGCGUACCUUUUGUAUAAUGGGUCAGCGACUUAUAUUCUGUAGCAAGGUUAACCGUAUAGGGGAGCCGCAGGGAAACCGAGUCUUAACUGGGCGUUAAGUUGCAGGGUAUAGACCCGAAACCCGGUGAUCUAGCCAUGGGCAGGUUGAAGGUUGGGUAACACUAACUGGAGGACCGAACCGACUAAUGUUGAAAAAUUAGCGGAUGACUUGUGGCUGGGGGUGAAAGGCCAAUCAAACCGGGAGAUAGCUGGUUCUCCCCGAAAGCUAUUUAGGUAGCGCCUCGUGAAUUCAUCUUCGGGGGUAGAGCACUGUUUCGGCUAGGGGGUCAUCCCGACUUACCAACCCGAUGCAAACUACGAAUACCGAAGAAUGUUAUCACGGGAGACACACGGCGGGUGCUAACGUCCGUCGUGAAGAGGGAAACAACCCAGACCGCCAGCUAAGGUCCCAAAGUCAUGGUUAAGUGGGAAACGAUGUGGGAAGGCACAGACAGCCAGGAUGUUGGCUUAGAAGCAGCCAUCAUUUAAAGAAAGCGUAAUAGCUCACUGGUCGAGUCGGCCUGCGCGGAAGAUGUAACGGGGCUAAUGUUGGGUAGGGGAGCGUUCUGUAAGCCUGCGAAGGUGACCUGUGAGGGUUGCUGGAGGUAUCAGAAGUGCGAAUGCUGACAUAAGUAACGAUAAAGCGGGUGAAAAGCCCGCUCGCCGGAAGACCAAGGGUUCCUGUCCAACGUUAAUCGGGGCAGGGUGAGUCGACCCCUAAGGCGAGGCCGAAAGGCGUAGUCGAUGGGAAACAGGUUAAUAUUCCUGUACUUGGUGUUACUGCGAAGGGGGGACGGAGAAGGCUAUGUUAGCCGGGCGACGGUUGUCCCGGUUUAAGCAUGUAGGCUGGUUGUCCAGGCAAAUCCGGAUAAUCAAGGCUGAGGUGUGAUGACGAGGCACUACGGUGCUGAAGUAACAAAUGCCCUGCUUCCAGGAAAAGCCUCUAAGCAUCAGGUAACAUUAAAUCGUACCCCAAACCGACACAGGUGGUCAGGUAGAGAAUACCAAGGCGCUUGAGAGAACUCGGGUGAAGGAACUAGGCAAAAUGGUGCCGUAACUUCGGGAGAAGGCACGCUGGUGUGUAGGUGAAGUCCCUGCGGAUGGAGCUGAGACCAGUCGAAGAUACCAGCUGGCUGCAACUGUUUAUUAAAAACACAGCACUGUGCAAACACGAAAGUGGACGUAUACGGUGUGACGCCUGCCCGGUGCCGGAAGGUUAAUUGAUGGGGUUAUCCGUAAGGAGAAGCUCUUGAUCGAAGCCCCGGUAAACGGCGGCCGUAACUAUAACGGUCCUAAGGUAGCGAAAUUCCUUGUCGGGUAAGUUCCGACCUGCACGAAUGGCGUAAUGAUGGCCAGGCUGUCUCCACCCGAGACUCAGUGAAAUUGAACUCGCUGUGAAGAUGCAGUGUACCCGCGGCAAGACGGAAAGACCCCGUGAACCUUUACUAUAGCUUGACACUGAACAUUGAGCCUUGAUGUGUAGGAUAGGUGGGAGGCUUUGAAGCGUGGACGCCAGUCUGCGUGGAGCCAACCUUGAAAUACCACCCUUUAAUGUUUGAUGUUCUAACGUUGGCCCCUUACCGGGGUUGCGGACAGUGUCUGGUGGGUAGUUUGACUGGGGCGGUCUCCUCCCAAAGCGUAACGGAGGAGCACGAAGGUUAGCUAAUCCUGGUCGGACAUCAGGAGGUUAGUGCAAUGGCAUAAGCUAGCUUGACUGCGAGCGUGACGGCGCGAGCAGGUGCGAAAGCAGGUCAUAGUGAUCCGGUGGUUCUGAAUGGAAGGGCCAUCGCUCAACGGAUAAAAGGUACUCCGGGGAUAACAGGCUGAUACCGCCCAAGAGUUCAUAUCGACGGCGGUGUUUGGCACCUCGAUGUCGGCUCAUCACAUCCUGGGGCUGAAGUAGGUCCCAAGGGUAUGGCUGUUCGCCAUUUAAAGUGGUACGCGAGCUGGGUUUAGAACGUCGUGAGACAGUUCGGUCCCUAUCUGCCGUGGGCGCUGGAGAAUUGAGGGGGGCUGCUCCUAGUACGAGAGGACCGGAGUGGACGCAUCACUGGUGUUCGGGUUGUCAUGCCAAUGGCACUGCCCGGUAGCUAAAUGCGGAAGAGAUAAGUGCUGAAAGCAUCUAAGCACGAAACUUGCCCCGAGAUGAGUUCUCCCUGAGACUUUAAGUCUCCUGAAGGAACGUU
rnacentral:rRNA from 1 species